CUCCCUCCCUUACGAGGCAGCGGCAUCGUCCUCCCCCCUUCUCCGCCACCUCCUCCUCCGGCGCGCAGCCCGCGACUCUGGCAUCCCCAACGCACUUUCUCUCCUCGAUCCGCUCGCUCUCUUCCCCCCGCCGCUCCUCCUUCUCCAGUAAAAAAUAAAUGAGAAGGGACGGCGGGUAUGCCUGGUCUUUUUUUCUCUUUCUUUCUUUUUUUUUUUUCUCUCUCUGUCCUCUGGAGUUGGUGAGAGGAUCACAUGAGGAGCAGGCACAGAGAACCAGGACCCUCAGAAGUCGGAGGAGGCAUCGGACACAUAUAUCUGCCAAUGGUCACCAUCACCCAAGGUUUCUCUCAAGGAAAAGAGGAAGGAAAUUUACUUUCCAAGCUGCUGUCCAGCUGCUCAUUUAGCCCUGACAACCCACUGAAGACACUGAAGAACGCCCAGCUAAAGUGGUUAAACGCCUGGAAAUGCAAGUGGAGGAGAAGUUCCUCCCCUCCAUUUUCAUUACUUGCAGCAGAUGACGUCAGUCUUCUACGACCUGUGCUAUGCAGUGCCCAGGAAACUCUUGAUCCAUCCUUGUGGACUUGCCAAAUGAGUCACUCUCGCCUGGUACAGAUAAAUAGGGUCUCCCUGUCUUCAUCAUCUCAGAGUCUCAUGUUGCCAUGUCGCAUGCAUGUGGAACAACCAUGAAAGGAAGGACAAUUAGCCUAGGAAGUCCAUCUAUAUCUACAGGAGUUAAAAACAGUUCUGUGGACAAAGGUAUUGAUCAAAGCAUGACUGAAUGAAGAGGUAAGGG
rnacentral:lncRNA from 1 species